rnacentral:rRNA from 1 species
CCGCUGAACUUAAGCAUAUCAAUAAGCGGAGGAAAAGAAACCAACAGGGAUUGCCCCAGUAACGGCGAGUGAAGCGGCAACAGCUCAAAUUUGAAAUCUGGCCCCAGGCCCGAGUUGUAAUUUGCAGAGGAUGCUUUUGGCGCGGUGCCUUCCGAGUUCCCUGGAACGGGACGCCAUAGAGGGUGAGAGCCCCGUACGGUUGGACACCAAGCCUUUGUAAAGCUCCUUCGACGAGUCGAGUAGUUUGGGAAUGCUGCUCUAAAUGGGAGGUACAUUUCUUCUAAAGCUAAAUAUUGGCCAGAGACCGAUAGCGCACAAGUAGAGUGAUCGAAAGAUGAAAAGCACUUUGAAAAGAGGGUUAAACAGCACGUGAAAUUGUUAAAAGGGAAGCGCUUGUGACCAGACUUGCGUCCGGUGAAUCACCCAGCUCUCGCGGCUGGGGCACUUCGCCGGCACAGGCCAGCAUCAGCUUGCCGUCGGGGACAAAAGCUUCAGGAACGUGGCUCCUCUCGGGGAGUGUUAUAGCCUGUUGCAUAAUACCCUUCGGCGGGCUGAGGUACGCGCUCCGCAAGGAUGCUGGCGUAAUGGUCAUCAGCGACCCGUCUUGAAACACGGACCAAGGAGUCAACCUUAUGUGCGA